rnacentral:lncRNA from 1 species
UGGAAGAAUAUGAAGUUGAUUUUACCGAGGUUAAGGUGGCGGCACAAGCUGAUUCUCUGGAAGUUGCUGGUGAAGAAGAAGCCAUGGAAGAAUAUGAUGUUGAUUGUACUGAGGCUAAGGUGGCUGCACAAGCUGAUUCUCUGGAAGUUACUGGAGAAGAGGAAGCCACAGAAGAAUAUGAUGUUGAUUGUACUGAGGCUAAGGUGGCUGCACAAGCUGAUUCUCUAGAAGUUACUGGAGAAGAGGAAGCCAAGGAAGAAUAUGAUGUUGAUUGUACUGAGGGUAAGGUGGCUGCACAAGCUGAUUCUCUGGAAGUUAUCGGAGAAGAAGCCACGGAAGAAUAUGAUGUUGAUUGUACCGAGGC